AGGUGAUCCGUCCACCUUGGCCUCCCAAAGUGCUGGGAUUACAGGCAUGAGCCACCAUGCCCAGCUUUUUGCUUCUGUUUUUAAGAGACAGGAUCUUGCUAUGUUGCCCAGCCUGGAGUGCAAUGGCUUAUGGGCUCAAGCCAUCCUCCUGCCUCAGCCUCCUAAGUAGCUGGAACUACAGACACAGGCCACUAUGCCUGGCUUGGUUGCCUUUUUUCUUUUCUUUUUUUUGAGACAAUUUCUUGCUAUGUUGCCCAGGCUGGACUUGAACCCCUGGACUCGAGCACUCCUCCUACCUCAGCCUCUCAAGUAGCUGGGAUUUUAGGAACAUGCCACCGCACCCAGCUGCUGAAGGUUUUGAGUGGUGAACAAGGUCUCAGAUCCAAGGUCCACAGGCAGGACUGGAGUAGGGGGGUCUGAAGUCCCUGGGAAGGUGAGGGGAGGAUCCUAAGCCAGUGGGCAGGAGCAUUUCCAUAGGUGUGCCUCACCUCAGGAGCUCUCUCAGGUUCACAUGGCAGUAAAGCUAGGCACAAGGAGUACUGCACAGUAGUCCCAGCAAGCAUCCUGGGUGAAGGCGAGGAAGCAGGGCGCAAGGCUCCUUCAACUGCCUAUGUGGCCUCAGGGACCCAAGCCUCCCUUUUUCUUUCUUUUUUUAAUUUUUUUUUUUUUUUUUUUUUUUUGAGACAGAGUCUCGCUCUGUCUCCCAGGCUGGAGUGCAGUGGCGCUAUCUCACCUCACUGCAAGCUCCGCCUCCCAGGUUCACACCAUUCUCCUACCUCAGCCUCCUGAGUAGCUAGGACCACAGGUGCCUGCCAUCACUCUGGCUUUUUAUUUUAUUUUAUUUUAUUUUGUAUUUUUAGUAGAGAUGGGGUUUCACAUGUUAGCCAGGGUGGUCUGGAUCUCCUGACCUCGUGAUCCGCCCACCCUGGCCUCCCAAAGUGCUGGGAUUACAGGCAUGAGCCACUGCGCCCGGCCUUUCUUUUCUUUUCUUUUUUUUUUUUUGGGGGGAGGGGAUGGAGUCUUGCUCUGUCACCCAGGCUGGAGUGCAAUGGCGCAAUCUUAGCUCACUGCAACCUCCGCCUCCCGGGUUCAAGCGAUUCUCCUUCCUUCCGAGUAGCUGGGACUACAGACGUGCACCACCAUGCCCGGUUAAUCUUUGUAUUUUUAGUAGAGAUGGAUUUUCACUAUGUUGCCCAGGCUGGUCUUGAACUCCUGACCUUGUGAUCCGCCCGCCUUGGCCUCCCAAAGUGCUGGGAUUACAGGCGUGAGCCACCGCACCCGGCCUAUACUGGCUUUCUAAUUGGCAUCCCUGUCUCCUCAAAUCUAACCUUGGUUACCGAGAGUAUUGUAUACUACAGCAAAUCUGAUCAAGUUCAUCACCUACCCCAACAUUCAGGGUAAAGGCCAAACUCCUAAGAAAGCCAUCCCUUCCUUUGUGUCUGGCCCUGCCUCUCCAGUCUUCUCUUCCAGUCUUCUCUUUUUUUAUACUGUGAUUGCCUAGUUAUUUGUUCAUUUCCCUGAUUAGUAUACAAGUCCCUUGAAGACACAGACCAUGGUUAUUUGUAUUUUGGUAUCCUCAGCAUGUAUCACAGUGCCAGGUUCAUAGUAGGUUUAAUUAUUAUUGUUAUUAUUAUUAUUUUUGAGACAGAGUUUUGCUUUUGUUACCCAGGCUGGAGGGCAAUGGUGUGAUCUUGGCUCGUCGCAACCUCUGCCUCCCGGGUUCAAGCGAUUCUCCUGCCUCAGCCUCCCAAGUAGCUGGGAUUACACUCAUGCACAACCAUGCCUGGCUAAUUUUGUAUUUUUAGUAGAGACGGGGUUUCUCCAUGUUGGUCAGGCUGGUCUCGAACUCCUGACCUCAGGUGAUCUGCCUGCCUCGGCCUCCCAGAGUGCUGGGAUUACAGGUGUGAGCCACUGCGACCAGCCUAAUUAUUAUUGUGAAUGCAGGAACUGACAAGGCCCUAUGACCUGGGGUGAAAAGAAGGGAUUAAGCUCUGGCCUGUAGAGAUUCUCUGGCUCUCUUCCUUUCUUUUCAUAAGCCAGACUGACUCUUUGGUUGAUCCAGCCCUGAAAUUGAUGGCAGUAAGUCAGGUGGAUCUGAAGGCAGAACCUAGCCACCAAGGACAGUGGCAGGGGUGAAGAAGCCACUGAGCUCGGACCAUCUUGGGAGUUGAGGUGGAGGUGAAAGCAAUGGACAUAACUGGUACUACCCAGUGCCCCCGAUCCCCAAACCAGGAGAGUUUGAGAAGGGAUAGGAAAGCCUGAGUCAAUGAGGUUCCAAGGAAGAGACUGGUGACAGGGGCUAGUGGAAAUUGUGGGUUGAGGUCAAAGGUCUGGAAGAUCGAUCCCUACGUUGAAUAUGGCCAUCCAGGCUGGGCACUGUGGCUCACGCCUAUAAUCCCAGCACUUUGGGAGGCUGAGGCAGGCAAAUAGAUUGAGCCCAGGAGUUCAAAACCAGCCUGGGCAACAUGGCAAAAUCCUGUCUCUACAAAAAAACAAAAAAAUUAGCCAGGUAUGGUGGCACACGCCUGUCGUCCCAGCUUCUCGGGAGGUUGAGGUGGGAGGAUUGCUUGAGCCCAGGAGGUCCAGGCUGCA
rnacentral:lncRNA from 10 species